rnacentral:rRNA from 1 species
UGUCUCAGUACAAGCCAAAUUAAGGUGAAACCGCGAAAGGCUCAUUAAAUCAGUUAUGGUUCCUUAGAUCGUACCCACAAUUACUUGGAUAACUGUGGUAAUUCUAGAGCUAAUACAUGCAAACAGAGCUCCGACCGGAGACGGAAGGAGUGCUUUUAUUAGAUCAAAACCAAUCGGUGGCGGGCUCGCUCGUCAUCGUACAACUUGGUGACUCUGAAUAACUUUACGCUGAUCGCACGGUCUUCGCACCGGCGACGCAUCUUUCAAAUGUCUGCCUUAUCAACUGUCGAUGGUAGGUUCUGCGCCUACCAUGGUUGUAACGGGUAACGGGGAAUCAGGGUUCGAUUCCGGAGAGGGAGCCUGAGAAACGGCUACCACAUCCAAGGAAGGCAGCAGGCGCGCAAAUUACCCACUCCCGGCACGGGGAGGUAGUGACGAAAAAUAACGAUACGGGACUCAUCCGAGGCCCCGUAAUCGGAAUGAGUACACUCUAAACCCUUUAACGAGGAUCAAUUGGAGGGCAAGUCUGGUGCCAGCAGCCGCGGUAAUUCCAGCUCCAAUAGCGUAUAUUAAAGUUGUUGCGGUUAAAAAGCUCGUAGUCGAAUUUGUGUCUCGUGCCGCUGGUUCAUCGUCCGCGGUGUUAACUGGCGAGUCGCGAGACGUCCUGCCGGUGGGCUUAGCUCGUCAGGGCGGCCCAACUCAAUCCUGCCGCGGUGCUCUUCAUUGAGUGUCGAGGUGGGCCGGCACGUUUACUUUGAACAAAUUAGAGUGCUUAAAGCAGGCUAAAACUUCGCCUGAAUACUGUGUGCAUGGAAUAAUGGAAUAGGACCUCGGUUCUAUUUUGUUGGUUUUCGGAACCCCGAGGUAAUGAUUAAUAGGAACGGAUGGGGGCAUUCGUAUUGCGACGUUAGAGGUGAAAUUCUUGGAUCGUCGCAAGACGGACAGAAGCGAAAGCAUUUGCCAAAAACGCUUUCAUUGAUCAAGAACGAAAGUUAGAGGUUCGAAGGCGAUCAGAUACCGCCCUAGUUCUAACCAUAAACGAUGUCAGCUAGCGAUCCGUCGACGUUCCUCCGAUGACUCGACGGGCAGCUUCCGGGAAACCAAAGCUUUUGGGUUCCGGGGGAAGUAUGGUUGCAAAGCUGAAACUUAAAGGAAUUGACGGAAGGGCACCACCAGGAGUGGAGCCUGCGGCUUAAUUUGACUCAACACGGGAAACCUCACCAGGCCCGGACACCGGAAGGAUUGACAGAUUGAGAGCUCUUUCUUGAUUCGGUGGGUGGUGGUGCAUGGCCGUUCUUAGUUGGUGGAGCGAUUUGUCUGGUUAAUUCCGAUAACGAACGAGACUCUAGCCUGCUAACUAGGCGUAUUUUGACAUCCUAAAGGCCCGCCGGCUUGGGGUUCGCUCCUUGUCGUGCGCGGUUUUUACUGUCGGCGUACAAACAAUUCUUCUUAGAGGGACAGGCGGCUUCUAGCCGCACGAGAUUGAGCAAUAACAGGUCUGUGAUGCCCUUAGAUGUUCUGGGCCGCACGCGCGCUACACUGAAGGAAUCAGCGUGUCCUCCCUGGCCGAGUGG